UAAAUACUCCCUCCGUCUCAAAAUUCUUGUCUUAGAUUUGUCUAGAUACGGAUGUAUCUAACACUAAACCAUGACUAGAUACAUCCGUAUGUAGAUAAAUCCAAGACAAGAAUUUUGGGACGGAGAGAGUAUCAU
rfam:Triticum aestivum genome assembly, contig: Triticum_aestivum_CS42_TGACv1_scaffold_592631_7BS